rnacentral:misc_RNA from 1 species
CCGCCUUGGACCCGCUUGCACACGCACACACGCGCACAGGCAGGUCAUACCCCUUCCCCCUACGCACAAACGCACGCGCAGUGCGUGGCGCUCGUACGCCGUUUGGACAUGUCGCGCAACACGAAGGAGUUCAACAAGCAGGCCGACCGGUUUGUGGAGGAGUACAAGGAGCAGCGCAUCGCCUUGGAGCAGUGCCUGCGAUCCCGUAUCAACGAUGACAUCAACUUUGUGUGCCAGCGGCAGAAGUCCGCCUACCUCGAGGGCAUCGCCAAAAUCUUCUGCAAGAGGGAGUACGACGCUGGUGUGGUGUGCCAGAGGGCGGCAGGCGACCAGUGGGCCUCAGACUGUUUCAAGGAAAACGUGGCGUUUGGCCAGUGCACUGACCGCGUCCUGAAACAGUUGUACGUGUACAAUCUGGAGCACAACAAGAAGAACCCUGGCGCCAACUGACGGCCUCGCAGAUCCACCAAGAAGGGGUGGAGGGGAGGCGAGGGCGAACGGUGACUUCGCUUCCCCACGCCACUCCUGCCCUUCUUGCACCCACGCUACGAGAAGAGGCGGCGGUGUGCCCCGAAUCAUGCGCAAAGCAAGAGGACCCGCUCCCCCUCCCCCACCCAGUGCGAGAGCGGAACGUGAGGCUCUCUCUCUCAUGCACCUCGUCACGGCCUGUUCAAGGAGAGCGCGCUCCCUGGCUGUGCGCGCGCGUGUGCGUACUUGCGCAGCUUCCAUUCCUCUUUUGUUUGGUGUUGUGUGCGCCCAUCGGCCCUGAUGGUGCUUCGCUGAGAGUGAGCUCUGAUCACAGCAGGUGCGCUUUACGGGAAUGUGCGGACUCACUUGGUUGCCGUCCUUCAUCCAGGAGGAAGGGGGCGAGCGCUUAGGUUGGUGAGCCAGAGCGUGCGCGUCGCGAGUCUGUGCUCUCCCGUGUGCCCACGUUGCUCGCUCUCUCGCUCGUGGGUGUACGGGAGGAGGACGAGGAGUACCUGAUGGGGGAGGGGGCUCAGCUGCGGCUCAGUGCAGGAUGCGCCACGCCAUCACACACACACACAUAUACCAGGGCAUAUGCGCCUCGACGACU